GCUCAGUGGUAGAGCACUUGUCUCGCAUGCAUGAAGUCCUGGAUUAAAUUUCCAG
rnacentral:tRNA from 1 species